AGCAGCCGCGGUAAUUCCAGCUCCAAUAGCGUAUAUUAAAGUUGUUGCAGUUAAAAAGCUCGUAGUUGAAUUUCGGGGUUAGUAGGUUGGUCAUGCCACUGGUAUGUACUGAUCUUACUGAUUCCUCCUUCCUGAUGAACCGUAAUGCCAUUAAUUUGGUGUUGCGGGGAGACUGGACUGUUACUUUGAAAAAAUUAGAGUGUUUAAAGCAGGCUAACGCUUGAAUACAUUAGCAUGGAAUAAUGAAAUAGGACGUUCGAUCCUAUUUUGUUGGUUUCUAGGAUUGACGUAGUGAUUAAUAGGGAUAGUUGGGGGCAUUAGUAUUCAAUUGUCAGAGGUGAAAUUCUUGGAUUUAUUGAAGACUAACUACUGCGAAAGCAUUUGCCAAGGAUGUUUUCAUUAAUCAAGAACGAAAGUUAGGGGAUCGAAGACGAUCAGAUACCGUCGUAGUCUUAACCAUAAACUAUGCCGACUAGGGAUCGGAUGAUGUUAAUUUUUUAAUGACUCAUUCGGCGCCUUA
rnacentral:rRNA from 1 species